AUCUAUGGCCGUGCCACCCCAAACAAGCCUGAUCCCAUCUGAUCUCGGAAACUAAGCAGGGCCUGGUUACUACUUGGAUGGGAGACCACCUAGGAAGACCAGGUGCUGUAGGCG
rnacentral:rRNA from 1 species